rnacentral:lncRNA from 1 species
AAGUGACGUUUACGAGAAAAACAGAAGUAAUCUCCAGGAUCUUGUUGAUACGUUGGUUGGUUUUUCAGUGGAAAAAUGGAUGGAAGGAACAAAANUUAAUGGUGGAAGAUAGAAAAAAGCUGGAUGGCAGGUAGAGCAGAAGUGCAGAGGAGAGAGAAAUAGAAAACAAAGAGAAAUAAAAAAGUGUCAGGAAGAGCAGAUGAGAGAGAAAAAAGGUGCAGCCACCUAAGCCUCAGUUAACGUCGUUCCUACCUACUUAACAGAAGGGACCAAUUUCAUUCAAAAUUGGUAACCUGGAAACCAAAUAACAUCAAUUUUAAAAGCGGGUACAAAACAAAAAUUCAGCGCCCAACUUGGGGACUAAAAAGGUAAUUAAGCCUAAAAAUUAUAAUAAUGUAGUAGGGAGCCGGACGGUCAAGACGAACGGUAAGGAGACAUGCGAUGAGCCGAACGACCAGGUCAGAGAGAUCCAGGUAAGUCCAAGAAGCUUUCAAGAAGGCGACUUAGUAUGGCGUAAG